rnacentral:rRNA from 1 species
GGGGAAUAUUGGGCAAUGGGCGCAAGCCUGACCCAGCCAUGCCGCGUGAGUGACGAAGGCCUUAGGGUUGUAAAGCUCUUUUGGCGGGGACGAUAAUGACGGUACCCGCAGAAUAAGCCCCGGCUAACUUCGUGCCAGCAGCCGCGGUAAUACGAAGGGGGCUAGCGUUGUUCGGAAUCACUGGGCGUAAAGCGCACGUAGGCGGACUUUCAAGUCAGGGGUGAAAUCCCGGGGCUCAACCUCGGAACUGCCUUUGAUACUGUUGGUCUCGAGUCCGAUAGAGGUGGGUGGAAUUCCUAGUGUAGAGGUGAAAUUCGUAGAUAUUAGGAAGAACACCGGUGGCGAAGGCGGCCCACUGGAUCGGUACUGACGCUGAGGUGCGAAAGCGUGGGGAGCAAAC